ensembl:lncRNA
GCAUUUGGAAAAGGACUUGUGGGGAGAAAUCUAUGCAGUUAUUUCUCAUCACGUAAGCUUUGCAUUUGGACUGGUCUGUAAGGCAACUUUCAUCCUGAUUUGUGAUAAAAGAGAAUGCAUCAUCCCACAGGAACAUAGGACUUAUUUACAACCAAUUCCUUCUGGAAACAAUCUCCAGGGCAGGGAGGAUGAUGUCUAGCAUAUUAGGCAGGCAUACUCUGAAUUGCUAGUGAAAUAACAUUACCAGAGGUGAUUAGUCUGGGUGUAACACUGGAGCUGAGCUCCUGGAGGGUUGGGAUCCUGCAGAUCCAUGUCAGUCUCUCCUCUUGCACCUUGAGGUUGUCAGUGUGCUUGAGGUGAUCAGAUAGCUGUGACAUCUGUGACAGAACACAGAUGGGCUCCACAAUCAGAAGAAUCAAACACACGCGAUAAAUGGGCUCUUCUAAUCAGAUCUAUACUCUAAGCAACAGAGGAUACAGAUUUACGUGAUGCUGCUGAAGUUCUGAAUCCUUGAUUUUAAUGAUACAGAAAUGGAGCUAUUUCCUCACGAUUCACCUCUCCUCAGAAGCUGUUAUGACCUGUAAUCCUUCACAGUGUCAUUCACAAUGGAUUCUCGUUUCCACUCCCACCUGCUGUUCCUCCCCUUGGGCUCCUGCUGUCUCAGGAGCUGCAGCCUUCCUCCUGGACCACCUGCUCGUUCUCAGAUGUUCCAUUUCCCCAGAUGCAGCAGCCAGCUCACUGAAGCUUCCUAGGGGAUCCAUUCAUGACUCCUUCCUCCUUUUCCUUGAGCACCCACCUCAGGCAGAAAUUUCUUCAACAGAUGAUAUGUGCUUCAGAGUCAGGAGUUCUGACUGUAGUGUUUUUCAGAGUUUAGCACAGAGACCAAAUGAGGUGCCCCUAAGUAUUUGCUAAGUAAAUGAACAUCAUCCGAGACAAUUGAGGAGAACUUCAGAAAUCAUCCUAAGCAAAUCAGUCUUGAAAUACUAGAGCCUUUUAGAGUGUUAUAUAUGUCAAGAUUUUUCUGACUCCUUCCAACAUGUUUAAAAUAAACAAAGAAGUGCCAAACUAAAUGAACAAACAGAAACCAAAGAACCGCCCCCCCCCAUUUUUGCUCAGAUGUUUAUAGUCUCCUUUUUGAAAGUUUGCAUUAGUUUUUAAGAUGUUCUUGCCUAUAUCUUUUUUAAAAAAUCACCUGGUCCUUACACAUUUUUUUUUGUGUCAAUUCAUAUUCUUUUUUUUGGUACCGAGGAUUGAACUUGGGAGUUUGUGCUUUGCGAGGCACACAGCAGAACCGCUGAGCUAAAUCCCGGGCCCAAUUCAUAUUCUCUUUUGGUUAACUAUAAAGUGUGUCCUAGGCUGUAGCAUUUCAUCUUAUCAGAAAGGACAAUGAAUUGCAAGAGGCUUACAUGAAUUCAUUUGAACCAUUGGUAAGGUGGUUUAGAUGUCAUGUUGAUCAAAUUAUGGGGGUUAUUUCAGUAAAUUAUUAAUUGCUUUCAGUUUGAAAUUAAUAUGAUUAAUGGGGGUAUUUCAGUAAUAUUUUACUGAUUUACAUGUUCCAGAGACAUUUACAAAUUUAAGGAAUCAUUAAAAAUACCUCUUAGGGAUGAAAAUACACUUUUGUAUUUAUUUCAAAAUAAUGUCCUACCUUAACCAUGCAGAGAUAAUUGAGAAGUGUUAUCUUAGUAUUAUUUUUAAUGCACAUAUCUCUAAUUUUUGAAAGAUAAAAUAUAAUUUUUAGGACCUGCAAAUCAAUAAAGGAUUAAAAAUAUACAGACUAUAUAUGUCACAUUGUGAUAUGUGAGAUGUCAUAUUUAGGAAGUUUAAUUCUCAUCCUAGAGCAAUCUUUCCGCAGAAGUUAGGAAGCCCAGAGCUCUCACUGAGGUCAGAUGCGUGAGUCAUGUUAGUGUGCUCUGUGCGGCAUUUGCUACUAAUAACAGGAAAUGAAGGAGCAACAGCAAACCUCAGAACAACCUGCUCUCCUCGUGCCUGAGGUUGGGACCAAGAAAGAACUGGUAAUGGCAAUGUCCCUCAGCAACCACAGAGUGAAAUAGCUGCAUAAUUUAUCACUGUUUUUAAUACACUAGGUGUUCCUUAUUAAGUCUAAUGGAACUAGGUUUUUGUUGUUGCUGUUAUAAAAGGUCCAGGGAGCCAGAAAUGCUAUAAGUAAUUUUAUGUACUGGCUCUAUAGUAAAUAGGAGAACAUUUUCCCAAGUAGCUAAGAGUCUGUUGUUACUUUUCUUCAGAGUUUUACUUGUAGACUUUGGAUCAUAGGUUUCCUAAGCAAAGCAAUCCUGAGGAAUUCUGCUAAAAUAUUAUUUCAUUGUAUCCAAAGUAUGGAAAUAAUAAUAGAUAAGGAAAUAUUUGGAACACAACUUCCCUUGAAUGUAUAUGAGAUUCAUUUAAUUACU